rnacentral:rRNA from 1 species
GUGCCAGCAGCCGCGGUAAUACGUAGGUGGCAAGCGUUAUCCGGAAUUAUUGGGCGUAAAGCGCGCGUAGGCGGUUUUUUAAGUCUGAUGUGAAAGCCCACGGCUCAACCGUGGAGGGUCAUUGGAAACUGGAAAACUUGAGUGCAGAAGAGGAAAGUGGAAUUCCAUGUGUAGCGGUGAAAUGCGCAGAGAUAUGGAGGAACACCAGUGGCGAAGGCGACUUUCUNGGUCUGUAACUGACGCUGAUGUGCGAAAGCGUGGGGAUCAAACAGGAUUAGA